AUUGAACGCUGGCGGCAUGCCUUACACAUGCAAGUCGAACGGUAACGGGUCCUUCGGGAUGCCGACGAGUGGCGAACGGGUGAGUAAUAUAUCGGAACGUGCCCAGUAGUGGGGGAUAACUGCUCGAAAGAGCAGCUAAUACCGCAUACGACCUGAGGGUGAAAGGGGGGGAUCGCAAGACCUCUCGCUAUUGGAGCGGCCGAUAUCAGAUUAGCUAGUUGGUGGGGUAAAGGCCUACAAAGGCAACGAUCUGUAGUUGGUCUGAGAGGACGACGAGCCACACUGGGACUGAGACACGGCCCAGACUCCUACGGGAGGCAGCAGUGGGGAAUUUUGGACAAUGGGCGCAAGCCUGAUCCAGCAAUGCCGCGUGCAGGAAGAAGGCCUUCGGGUUGUAAACUGCUUUUGUCAGGGAAGAAAUCUUCUGGGCUAAUACCCCGGGAGGAUGACGGUACCUGAAGAAUAAGCACCGGCUAACUACGUGCCAGCCGCCGCAGUAA
rnacentral:rRNA from 1 species